rnacentral:rRNA from 1 species
ACUCCUACGGGAGGCAGCAGUGGGGAAUAUUGCACAAUGGGGGAAACCCUGAUGCAGCCAUGCCGCGUGUGUGAAGAAGGCCUUGGGUUGUAAAGCACUUUCAGUAGGGAGGAAGGUAGUGUAGUUAACACCUGCAUUAUUUGUACGUUACCUACAGAAGAAGCACCGGCUAACUCCGUGCCAGCAGCCGCGGUAAUACGGAGGGUGCGAGCGUUAAUCGGAAUUACUGGGCGUAAAGCGCAUGCAGGCGGCCUGUUAAGUCAGAUGUGAAAGCCCGGGGCUUAACCUCGGAAUUGCAUUUGAAACUGGCAGGCUAGAGUCUUGUAGAGGGGUUAGAAUUUCAGGUGUAGCGGUGAAAUGCGUAGAGAUCUGAAGG